rnacentral:rRNA from 1 species
GAUGAACGCUAGCUACAGGCUUAACACAUGCAAGUCGAGGGACCGGCGCACGGGUGAGUAACACGUAUCCAACCUGCCCUUUACUCGGGGAUAGCCUUUCGAAAGAAAGAUUAAUACCCGAUCUAAAGGAUGGGGAUGCGUUACAUUAGGUUGUUGGUGAGGUAACGGCUCACCAAGCCUGCGAUGGAUAGGGGUUCUGGGAGGAAGGACCACCACAAUGGAACUGCGGCACAGACCAAACUCCUACGCGACGCAGCAGUGAGGAAUAUUGGGCAAGGGGCUCUAGCCUGAACCAGCCAAGUAGCGGGAAGGAUGAAGGCUUCUGGGUAGUAUACUUUUUGUAUAUAAGAAUAGGUAUCAUAUGAAUAAGGAUCGGCUAACUCCGUGCCAGCAGCCGCGGUAAUAC